rnacentral:rRNA from 1 species
AUUGAACGCUGGCGGCAGGCCUAACACAUGCAAGUCGAGCGAGCGGCGGACGGGUGAGUAAUGUAUGGGGACUGCCCGAUAGAGGGGGAUAACUACUGGAAACGGUGGCUAAUACCGCAUACUAUCGGAUAACCCAUAUGGGAUUAGCUAGUAGGUGGGGUAAAGGCUCCCCUAGGCGACGAUCUCUAGCUGGUCUGAGAGGAUGAAAAGCCAGACUGGGAAUCAGACACGGCCCAGACUCCUACGGAGGCAGCAGUGGGGAAUUUUGAACAAUGGGCGCAAGCCGGAUGCAGCCAUGCCGCGUGUAUACAGAAGGCCUUAUGGUUGUAAAGUACUUUCAGCCGGGAGGCGUUACCCGCAGAAGAAGCACCGGCUAACACCGUGCCAGCAGCCGCGGUAAUAC